CUCCCUGUGAGGGGAAGGAUUCGACAUACUGAUUCCAGUAGUUCUCAGUUAUUAACGUUUAAAAACAUCGCCCGUUCACCUUUUCUGCUCCAAGAACAAUCCCUGCACGCCGAUAUUUUUGGUAGAAAGCACAAAUGCGACAAUGCAGAUGAAUGAUGAUAUUGACUAUUCCAGUACGAUACUGCUUUGGAAAACAUCGUGAUUACGACUUUGUAUUCCAAGUCAAAAGAAUUGAAAAAAAAUCCUUUGGAGGGGUGGGGGAAAAUUUGUGUACAUGCAAGCCACCAUCAUAUUUAUCUGUAAUACAACAUAACGUAAUCAGGCGUUCGGCAAUUUGAUUUUUGUGGCGUUAUCGGAAUGGGGUUUGACGGUUUGAAGUGGAUGAAUAUGCAGAUCCCGCAAAAUUCGGUUCUACCAUAAGAUUACAGCUGAGCCGCCUCAAUGCAUUUCCACACUGCAACACAAAAGCCAUGGGGAACAUUUUAAAGCCUGAAAAUCGAGGACGAGAAACUGUUGCUGCGGGUGGUGGUGAUGGAUACGUUCCCAAAUCUUCCUCCACCCCAUACCAUCCCCUCCGAAAAAUGAAGAGGAUGACCAAAACAAGCCCUGAACCGAGGACAUCCAUCAGCAGACGGACUGGACUGCGAGUUCUGAUCUGAUCUCGUCAGCCAGCAUUCGCCUGCCUCUUGCCCUCCCCAAAAGAGAGAGUGAGGGGUAGAAAAUGAGGAAGAAAACAGAGAGAGACAGAGAAACAAGAGGCAGCCGAACGGUUGGCACCUUCCUCUCUCACACACACAAUGUCCCCAGCCAUUGGAUUCCUUAUUUUUCUCUCUCUCUCUCUCUCUCCCUCCCUCUUUCCCCCCCUUUUGCAUUAAUGCUACGUGCAUGAUGUGCGUGUUAAGUGUUGGUGCCACCGUCUCUCAAUUGACUCCUUUCCCUCCGUCUCCUCACUUACCCCUUACGUAGUUUUACUCGUCACUGAUUACGGUGCGCCAGGAGUGGAUGGCUGUGCUGAUACGUAGCCGCCACGUCAAAAAAAUACACUGAGAGCGUCACCUCCAGUCCCCUCAAACCAGGCGAGGCCGCAGCACCCGGCUCGCGCGCACAACCCGGAUCGCUGCGCCGCCGACGCGGCAACUCGACGCCCCAUUGGCCAACAGCCCCAACGGACCGGCCUUCCAAACCACGCGAGAGAGCCGAGCCCCGCCACCAUUGGCUGACGCGGCCUUCUUCACGCGUUCAGAGGCGGUGGGCGAGGAAGAACGGUUUUCUCCGCCGAGCCCGGAUCUUGUUUUUCCCCUUUUGGCUGUUUGGCUAGUCUUGCUCUCCCGCUGUAAAAGAGGAAGGAAAGGGGGUGGGGGAGGAAAGAAAAUACAGGAAUAAGGAAUUUGUGGCUUUUCUUAUUACCUGAAAUUUUCGUUGCAUUGCUUUUGUUUUAAAAACUAAAAUGGCGGUUUUAAUUUGCGGCAAGAGAUGUGGCCGUAAAUAAAUGUUUUGGUGUUUUAAUGAAA